rnacentral:rRNA from 1 species
GUGGGGAAUAUUGGACAAUGGGCGCAAGCCUGAUCCAGCCAUGCCGCGUGAGUGAUGAAGGCCUUAGGGUUGUAAAGCUCUUUCAGUGGGGACGAUAAUGACGGUACCCACAGAAGAAGCCCCGGCUAACUUCGUGCCAGCAGCCGCGGUAAUACGAAGGGGGCUAGCGUUGUUCGGAUUUACUGGGCGUAAAGCGCACGUACGCGGAUCGUUAAGUCGGGGGUGAAAUCCUGGAGCUCAACUCCAGAGCUGCCUUCGAUACUGGCGAUCUUGAGUCCGGAAGAGGUGAGUGGAACUCCUAGUGUAGAGGUGGAAUUCGUAGAUAUUAGGAAGAACACCAGUGGCGAAGGCGGCUCACUGGUCCGGUACUGACGCUGAGGUGCGAAAGCGUGGGGAGCAAACAGGAUUAGAUACCCGGGUAGUCC